rnacentral:rRNA from 1 species
GGCGAAAGCCUGAUGCAGCAACGCCGCGUGAAGGAAGAAGGGUUUCGGCUCGUAAACUUCUAUCAACAGGGACGAAAAAAAUGACGGUACCUGAAUAAGAAGCCCCGGCUAACUACGUGCCAGCAGCCGCGGUAAUACGUAGGGGGCAAGCGUUAUCCGGAAUUACUGGGUGUAAAGGGAGAGUAGGCGGCAUGGUAAGUUAGAUGUGAAAGCCCGAGGCUUAACCUCGGGAUUGCAUUUAAAACUAUCAAGCUAGAGUACAGGAGAGGUAAGUGGAAUUCCUAGUGUAGCGGUGAAAUGCGUAGAUAUUAGGAAGAACACCAGUGGCGAAGGCGACUUACUGGACUGAAACUGACGCUGAGGCUCGAAAGCGUGGGGAGCGAACAGGAUUAGAUACCCUGGUAGUCCACGCUGUAAACGAUGAGUGCUAGGUGUCGGGGGGGAACCCUCGGUGCCGCAGCUAACGCAAUAAGCACUCCACCUGGGGAGUA